GUGAAUGCAUGUUGUUUCUGGAAUACAUCAUAUUCAUUUGCAGAAACCCUGUGUAUGGAUCUUCAACACUUCUUUUUUUGUCUUCUUUUCCGAGGUACCUAAAAUAAUAGCUUUUUAAGACAGUCUUACGAUCACAUAACUUGUUGGGAAAAGCAUACCAUGGCUCACAAUCUGAAUUAAACAUUGUCAUUGUGGUAUAGAAGAAGGUGCAUGCUCAGGAGUUGCUAUCUGACUGAGUUGCUGAAGACAGCGAGUCACUGACAGAGGAGUAGGAAUUAUCAAAAGAGAAGUGUCUGCCACCCUGUUUCUUUUGUGCUAACCACCAACAGCUGGAGACCAGGCCAAAGAGAGGCAAGAGAAGCACGUCUCAAGGAAGCAUGUGCUUAAGCACGAAGAUGAACAAAGCUUCCAGGGCUAUUCAAAUCAGCUCUGGCUAUACCAAGUCCAUGCCUAUCCCUUAUACUUUCCAUAUAUUUUAAUAAAUUCAAAGAGAGCUGCUGAGAUUAAAGGGAAGAGCUUUGUGGUGGACAACGCGAAAUGAACAGGCUCUUCCUGCUGUGCAAGGCAGCGACUUGCUGAAGAUGGAGCCUGCACAUCAGAGGAGAGGAUCAUAAGGAUUCUGCCAGGUUUUAAUGCAACAUACCGGCUAUUUUGACUUGGUCGUCUUCUAAUCAAACUGGAGAUGUUUAGCUAGAAACUCCUUUCCCUGUUAUUUCAAACAUAGCCCAAGCACAGCUCCAGUGUCUGCUGAGGAUAGGUUGGGCAUGGAUGGGAGAGAGCUGACCCUACCUCGAUUUGUUGUGUUCCUUCCUUAUCUGCCCAUUCUAAUGGAAGUCUGCCACACAUCAUGGAUGCAAAGUGUGGAGCAUCAGAUGUUCACAGCUUCCCAUUGUGAAGUGAAGGUGUUGGGACCACUUUGUCUUCAGGUGAGAUUAAAGUGCAUUAUCUUGCCUGACUUGCCGAUUGUACUGUUGUCCUGGAUGGUUGUUUCUAUAGAGACUUGGUGUCCCUUGUGUUACUGGAACUUGAACUACAGGUUCACACUUCAUAGUUGUGAUAAACAGCCUAUUUGCUGUUCCUUCUUUCGUAUUCAAUUAGUUGCUUUCUAAUAAUUACUGUGUGCUUUAUUUUUUUUACAUGGACUUAAUGAGUCAGAAAUAGAAGUAGCAGUGAGUCUUGCUUUUUAGUGUAAACACAUUGAAAUUAGCCUUUCACAAAUAAAAAUUCCUGUUACCUUACUGUCC
rnacentral:lncRNA from 1 species